rfam:Gossypium hirsutum cultivar TM-1 chromosome 1, whole genome shotgun sequence
ACCGAGCUUGGUAUCGCAAGCUUGAAACCCAAGCGGAGGAAAUAAGGUGGUGGGACAAAGGCCCAUUCUUCCGAGUCGGAUUCCUUGAGGUUUAACUUUGGCUUGCCCGUUCCAAGCUUAGAGUUGAGUCAUGGGGUUUGAAUGUAGACUCUGGGUUUCGUGCCUCUUAGAUUGGAGGGUACUGCAUGAGGCUAGUUUCAUAGAGCAGCGAAUAUCUCCCGCUCUUGGCAGUGGAAGGACAACAAGCUUGUUCUACUUGGAUCCUACAUGGCUUGGUUGGUUGAUCCUAACUGGACCAUUAUCUUU